rnacentral:rRNA from 1 species
GUAACGGCGAGUGAAGCGGGAACAGCUCAGACUGAAAAUCCUUGAGUGGAAUUGUAGUCUGUCGAAGCUCAGUCAACGCUAGCAGCAGGCUAAGUCCCUUGGAACAGGGCGCCUGAGAGGGUGACAGCCCCGUAUUUGCCGGCUGCUAUUGAAAACAGCGUGUACGACGAGCUUUCAACGAGUCGAGUUGCUUGGGAUUGCAGCUCAAAGCGGGUGGUAAAUUCCAUCUAAAGCUAAAUAUUGGCUGGAGACCGAUAGCGCACAAGUAGAGUGAUCGAAAGGUUAAAAGCACCUUGAAAAGGGAGUUAAAUAGCACGUGAAAUUGUUGAAAGGGAACCGCUUGCAGUCAGACUCGGCCGCGGAGGCUCAACGGGCACUUGUGCCCGUGCACUCCUCCGUGGCCGGGCUAGCAUCAGUUCUGGCGACCGGUCAAAGGCCCCUGGAAUGUGUCGUCCUCCGGGACGUCUUAUAGCCAGGGGUGCAAUGCGGCCAGCCGGGACUGAGGAACGCGCU